GUAUCCGAUUCUGGAAAAGAACUUGGCUGCAUUCUAGCUCUGUCCUGAAAUUUUGUUUCAAAUUUUAAGGUUCAGGUCAAAGUGAUGGACUAAGUUAUUUGGCAAGGGAUUUCAUGACAGUAUAACAUCCAGCCUGUAGAAUGGUUACUGCUUGCUGAAUUUAGCUUUGAAUCAGGAAGAAGAAAUCUAUGAAAUAAGCAGUUUGAUUGAAGGAUCUUGAACACACUUAAAACAACAGAUAAGGUAGAUGGAGAGAAAGCAGGCAUUCCAUUGAUACCUCAUUUACAGAAAUACAAAUUGAAGGAACUCUGGCCAACCCGACCAUGGCGACCAUGGCGACCAAGGUCUAACAAACCAAGAACAAUGUACAAGAAUGCCGAUCUACCUGCAUAUUUGGCAGCCUUAUACGAUAUAAUAAUUUGGCUUCAGUCUCCCAAAUAUAAAGAUGUCCAUCCUGAUGCUUAUGUCCGAGUAAGUGCUCAGAAGUGAAGUCACCCAGCAAAGAGCUUUGUGUGCACCCCCAGAGUACAACUUUAUCUGCAGAAGAUUUAACUCAGCCAUGUGCUUCAGUCCAUUCUGUUUUUGAUGAAAAGCCAUGGAGACUAAGAGCUUUGACAGUUCCACUGUUACCUGGUACAACAUGGACAAAAAUUAAACAUUAACCCAGUCCUC
rnacentral:lncRNA from 1 species